UCGGACGGCAGCACAGAGAAGCUUGCUUCUUGGGUGGCGAGUGGCGAACGGGUGAGUAACAUAUCGGAACGUACCGAGCAGUGGGGGAUAACUAAUCGAAAGAUUAGCUAAUACCGCAUAUUCUCUGAGGAGGAAAGCAGGGGACCUUUGGGCCUUGCGUUAUUCGAGCGGCCGAUAUCUGAUUAGCUAGUUGGUGGGGUAAAGGCCUACCAAGGCGACGAUCAGUAGCGGGUCUGAGAGGAUGAUCCGCCACACUGGGACUGAGACACGGCCCAGACUCCUACGGGAGGUAGCAGUGGGGAAUUUUGGACAAUGGGCGCAAGCCUGAUCCAGCCAUGCCGCGUGUCUGAAGAAGGCCUUCGGGUUGUAAAGGACUUUUGUCAGGGAAGAAAAGGAUAGGGUUAAUACCCCUGUCUGAUGACGGUACCUGAAGAAUAAGCACCGGCUAACUACGUGCCAGCAGCCGCGGUAAUACGUAGGGUGCGAGCGUUAAUCGGAAUUACUGGGCGUAAAGCGAGCGCAGACGGUUACUUAAGCAGGAUGUGAAAUCCCCGGGCUCAACCUGGGAACUGCGUUCUGAACUGGGUGACUAGAGUGUGUCAGAGGGAGGUAGAAUUCCACGUGUAGCAGUGAAAUGCGUAGAGAUGUGGAGGAAUACCGAUGGCGAAGGCAGCCUCCUGGGAUAACACUGACGUUCAUGCUCGAAAGCGUGGGUAGCAAACAGGAUU
rnacentral:rRNA from 1 species